CGCUGGCGGCGUGCUUCAUACAUGCAAGUCGAACGAGGUCCAUCACUUCGGUGAGAAGACCUAGUGGCGAACGGGUGAGUAACACGUGAGGAACCUGCCCCGAAGAUCGGGAUAACAGCGGGAAACCGCUGCUAAUACCGAAUGCCGUCACCGGAUCGCAUGGUCUGGUGACGAAAUGGAUUCCGCUUCGGGAGUGGCCUCGCGGCCUAUCAGCUUGUUGGUGGGGUAACGGCCCACCAAGGCAACGACGGGUAGCUGGUCUGAGAGGACGAUCAGCCACACUGGGACUGAGACACGGCCAGACUCCUACGGGAGGCAGCAGUAGGGAAUCUUGCGCAAUGGGCGAAAGCCUGACGCAGCAACGCCGCGUGAGGGAUGAAUGCCUUCGGGUUGUAAACCUCUUUCAAGCAGGGACGAUACAUGACGGUACCUGCAGGAAAGAACGCUCCGGCCAAACUACGUUGCCAGCAGCCGGCGGUAAUACGUAGGGGAGCAAGCGUUGUCCGGGAAUCAUUGGGCGUAAAAGAGCUCGGUAG
rnacentral:rRNA from 1 species